CAUAACUGAGAUCAGAUCUUGCAUGCCCAGAAACCAAUUAAUAUAUAUACAACUCAUUUUCCUGUUUGUUCAAAAUAAGGAAACAGUUUCGUCAUCAUCGUCGUCGUUCAUCAAUGGCAGAUCAUGCAGCAAAGAGGUACGCAUGCAGUUGUUACGGGAUUAAAUAAGGGGCUUGGAUUCGAAACAGUAAGGCAAUUAGCAUCCAAGGGAAUAAAGUUUUUGCUAACUGCUAGAGAUGAGAAGAAGGGCCUCGAAGCUCUUCAUGCCUUGAAGGAGUCUGGUCUUUCUAACGAAGUCAUUUUUCAUCAGCUUGACGUGGCUGACCCAGCAAGUGUUGCUUCAAUGGCGGAUUUUGCUGCAUCUGCCAUUGAUGAACGACGACGAUGAUGAUGAAACUGUUUCCUUAUUUUGAACAAACAGGAAAAUGAGUUGUAUAUAUAUUAAUUGGUUUCUGGCAUGCAAGAUCUGAUCUCAGUUAUAUAUGUAUAUAUAGACGUCGUUUUGAACUUUGAGUUGUAUAUAUAUAUUAAUUGUUCUUCUUCUUUUUCAAUCUAAGAUGAAGAAGAAAAAUUUUUAUUUGAUCGAUCCGAUCCAUACGAAAUGGAUUAAGGAUCUAAUUUUCAAUCUAAUAAAGUGUUGCUUCUUGAUGACGAAAGAAGACGCCCGAAUGACCACCCUUCGGCAGCAGCGCUAACCUCACAAAAUAUGAAGCACCUUCAGCAGCAGACAAGAUACCGGUGUUGUUGGUUAUAUCGGUUUUGACAGAGCCAGGGCAGACGCUAUUGAUGCAGAAAUUGGGGUAUCUCUUGGCAAGAAGUCUUGUGUAGGAAUUCAGAGCAGCUUUGGAGACAACGUAAGCAGAUGUAUGAGGAGGCCAGCUAGCCUUUGGUUUCGUUGCCUCCAAAAGAUGAUAAUAAUUUGGGUCCGUUGGAAAUGCAAAUAGGUAGAAAGGUGAAAAUCAUCAAAUUGGAUUGAAGUAGUAUUGUUAUGAAAAAUAUUAAGAGUUGAGCCUACAACAUAAUUGUGCCUCUAGCCAUCGAAAAAUACUCGAAACUAAAGUUGUUAAAAUGAUCUUUCUUUUAUAAUCAGGUCAGAUUCUUCAUGAUCAAACUAAGAUAGAUGGAGACGCCCGAUGGACCACCCUUCGGUAGCAGCGCCAACCUCACAAAAUAUGAAGCACCUUCAGCAGCAGACAAGAUACCGGUGUUGUUGGUUAUAUCGGUUUUGACAAAGCCAGGGCAGACGCUGUUGAUGCAGAAAUUGGGGUAUCUCUUGGCAAGAAGUCUUGUGUAGGAAUUCAGAGCAGCUUUGGAGACAACAUAAGCAGAUGUAUGAGGAGGCCAGCCUUUGGUUUCCAAGGAACCCUCCUUCGUAUCUUUCAGAAACUGAUGCAGUACUUCAUCCAGUCUCUCUUCUGUUAGCCUCUUGUCAUCAAUUAAUAGUCCUUUAGCCCAUUCGUUAUUUAUGUUCUAAAACAUGACCAAACGAUCGAAGACAACAAAAAACUAAUCAAUAUCAAUUGUUUAUUAUUUUUCACUAAUUAUCAGUUAAUAAUCUAAUUCAUGUUAUAUA